CUGGCUGGAUGCAGUGCUGUUACAGAAUGGACAAAAGCCCUCGCUAACCUCCUGUACUGGUGUGCAUGUGCUUGUGGUGGCAAAGGGGAUAUGCUGGUGGUGGCAUGAACAUGCUGAACUACAUAUAGGACAUGGUGGCCUGCACCCUCACUGUCUUCACAGACACUCCGACCGCAUGCAAUGACUCACUGCUGGUAGGCACAAAUGACCAAACAGCACCAAGAUAAAGUGCAGCACAUAUGGCACAACUGUAUUUAUAAUUCCCUUUCUUGUGAUACUCUCCAGCCUACAAGUAAAUUCGGUGCAUUGUGGCAGCACCACUGUUGCUGAAGGAACGCCAGCCUUUACCAUCUUUCCGGACGUACAGCCUGGAGUCCUUCCACAGUGAUAUAAAUCGUUUUGCCCCAAAGGCCGCUACAUUCACGUAUGAAGACAUGAAGACCCGACUACGUGCAAGACCUGCACAAGAAAGUGAUGUGCUAUGUGCACAGUACAAACCAUACUGAAAAGCACUUGCACAAGUGGAGGAAAGUGUUCCAGCUGCAUUCUCAUCCCGGGAUGACCAAAGGGUGCCCAAGAGAAACCUUGUAGCUGCACACAAAGCACGGUUCCUCAAGUUCUUAUGUGGUGCACAGAUCACCACCACGCAUUUUCGUGACUCUUUCCUGAUCGUUAGCACUCUGCUCAUUUUCGAUGUGAUCGUUUCAUUUUAAUAAGUACUAGCCGCGACCUAUACUAUACAAAAAUUUUAGCUUAUAUGCUAGUUAGAGGGGCGAAUUUAGCCUCACUUUGAGCGAGUGCUCUGCUAGUGUGGUUGCAAGGAAUUAGUUUGUUGUGUCGUGUUAGCACACGAUGCUGAAACAGAGCAAACGGCCAAACAGGAGAGAACAUUGUUCCUUCCUCUUUGAUGAAACGUGUAAACAACAUGUCAAUCAAAUUUCUAGAUUUCCUAUGUCCUGGUAAGGAAAGGGCUAAGUACGCACACAUAUUCUUCCAACUCGGCCGUAUCUCUGGCAUUCUAGUCAUCACUACCUUUUCCAUUAUGUCUCAAGUGACCCAACACAGCACCAACAAGAAUAGAGAAUGGUUUACUGCUCAGCACUUUAGCUUUAAAUAACUGAAAGCCUUCCGACUAGCGAUACCUGCUGACGGGUAAGCAUAACGUUUUCCUAUAUCUGAUGAGGAACUCAAAUGCGCACGGCGAUUUAUCGAUGACACUGCACUGCUUGCCCCAUUUUUUUUUACCUCUGGGACUCUGGGUACAUUAGCCCUGUGGGUGUUUCUCUGGGGAAUGUCACCCGAAUAUUUUCGACAGCACAUGAUGGCAACACAGAAUUCGCCUUUUCGAAGGCGCCCCGACAGCCGCCGUACAAGUUGCCUGUACGCUGUGUACCGUGUUGUGCCUUGCCACGUGCCUAUCAUCGAGGCAAUGAAAGCUGCCAUAUACGUGCACCAUGUGCGUAUAAUCGACGCGACGGGAGCUGCCAUACUACGUGCACCACGUGCAUAUCAGCGAGGCGACAGAAGCUGCCACUUCUCCGCGACGGAACAAGAAUACGGCGAGGGCGCUUCAUGAAGCACCCAGCCAUCUCCGCGACGAAUAAAAAAUUCGACGCCAGUGACGUCAGCACCUGCCAAGCUCGUCCUGCCGACGAGGGGUCGCCAAAGGGACUUAAGGGAGAACCGGCCCAUUGUGAGCAGAGAGUCGCCUCCAGCCGCCCAGUCGGUCUGAUGCGCUUUUACAGCUGCAUGUACGCUCUCAUCCACUAUCUGUAAAUAUUGCAUAAAAUUUUUAGUUUCUUGUU